rnacentral:rRNA from 1 species
GACGAACGCUGGCGGCGUGCUUAACACAUGCAAGUCGAACGGAAAGGCCCUGCUUUUGUGGGGUGCUCGAGUGGCGAACGGGUGAGUAACACGUGAGUAACCUGCCCUUUACUUUGGGAUACCUUCAGGAAACUGGGGCUAAUACCGGAUAGGCGCUCCUGCUGCAUGGUGGGGGUUGGAAAGUUUCGGCGGUUGGGGAUGGCCUCGCGGCUUUUCAGCUUGUUGGUGGGGUAGUGGCUUACCAAGGCUUUGACGGGUAGCCGGCCUGAGAGGGUGACCGGCCACAUUGGGACUGAGAUACGGCCCAGACUCCUACGGGAGGCAGCAGUGGGGAAUAUUGCACAAUGGGCGGAAGCCUGAGGCAGCAACGCCGCGUGCGGGAUGACGGCCUUCGGGUUGUAAACCGCUUUCGCCUGUGACGAAGCGUGAGUGACGGUAAUGGGUAAAGAAGCACCGGCUAACUACGUG